rnacentral:rRNA from 1 species
GACGAACGCUGGCGGCGUGCCUAAUACAUGCAAGUCGAACGCAGUGGGGACGGGUGAGUAACACGUGGGUAACCUCCCAUCAGAGGGGAUAACACUUGGAAACAGGUGCUAAACCGAUACUGAUGGAUGGCCCCGCGGUGCAUUAGCUAGUUGGUGAGGUAACGGCUCACCAGGGCCACGAUGCAUAGCUGGCCUGAGAGGGUGAUCGGCCACACUGGGACUGAGACACGGCCCAGACUCCUACGGGAGGCAGCAGUAGGGAAUCUUCGGCAAUGGACGAAAGUCUGAUCGAGCAACGCCGCGUGUGUGAAGAAGGCUUUCGGGUCGUAAAGCACUUUUGUUAGAGAAGCGGUAUCUAACCAAAAAGCAACGGCUAACUCCGUGCCAGCAGCCGCGGUAAUUC